CGGUGGAGAGGAUCGAGCUGCGCGAGGAAACGAGGUACCGUACGGGACGACAGCCUUCCCUCGAGAAGAAUGAGAGAUUGCAUUGGCGGAGGUCGCUGCUCGAGCAAGCUGAAAUGUAUCUGAAUGGUACUAGACCGGUUUCCAGUGACCGAUAACAACCAACAGCUGCGUAAGUGGCUUUCGUUUACAACGAGCUCGUGUGCAAAAUGAUGUUUUCGCGUCGCAGCUUAUAUCGCAAAGUAGCCAACGAUCCCGGGUUCAUCCACACUUUGCCGGCGGACAGAUCGAACAAUAAAUUGGUCCGUGCGACGAUGACAACGGUCUGUCACUAAAUACGCCGAUCGUACAAGGGAUGCGAGAGAAGAGAGAAGACAAACACCUGUCGACCGUUUAUCAACAGCUACACAGUCGAAAUAUGAGUCUAAAUUUUUGGAAUUUCAACACUGAAUGCUGUAAUUCAUAUUAAUGUAAAUUUAUGUUAAAAUAAAAA